rnacentral:rRNA from 1 species
AGUGAACGCUGGCGGUAGGCCUAACACAUGCAAGUCGAACGGCAGCACAGGAGAGCUUGCUCUCUGGGUGGCGAGUGGCGGACGGGUGAGGAAUACAUCGGAAUCUACUCUGUCGUGGGGGAUAACGUAGGGAAACUUACGCUAAUACCGCAUACGACCUACGGGUGAAAGCAGGGGAUCUUCGGACCUUGCGCGAUUGAAUGAGCCGAUGUCGGAUUAGCUAGUUGGCGGGGUAAAGGCCCACCAAGGCGACGAUCCGUAGCUGGUCUGAGAGAAUGAACAGACACGUUAGACCUGAGCGACAGUACAGACUCAGACGGGAGGCAGCAGUGGGGAAUAUUGGACAAUGGGCGCAAGCCAGAUCCAGCCAUACCGCGUGGGUGAAGAAUGCCUUCGGGUUGUAAAACCCUUUUGUUGGGAAAGAAAUCCAGCUGGCUAAUACCCGGUUGGGAUGACGGUACCCAAAGAAUAAGCACCGGCUAACUUCGUGCCAGCAGCCGCCGUAA